GUGCCAGCCGCGGCGGUAAUACGAAGGGGGCUAGCGUUGUUCGGAUUUACUGGGCGUAAAGCGCACGUAGGCGGAUCGUUAAGUCAGAGGUGAAAUCCUGGAGCUCAACUCCAGAACUGCCUUUGAUACUGGCGAUCUAGAGUCCGGAAGAGGUGAGUGGAACUCCUAGUGUAGAGGUGGAAUUCGUAGAUAUUAGGAAGAACACCAGUGGCGAAGGCGGCUCACUGGUCCGGUACUGACGCUGAGGUGCGAAAGCGUGGGAGCAAACAGGAUUAGAUACCCUGGUAGUCC
rnacentral:rRNA from 1 species